rnacentral:rRNA from 1 species
UACGGAGGGUGCGAGCGUUGUUCGGAAUCACUGGGCUUAAAGCGUAUGCAGGCGGCCAAGCAAGUCAGAAGUGAAAUCCCCGGGCUCAACCCGGGAAUUGCUUUUGAAACUGCUCGGCUAGAAUCCCGGAGAGGUUGGCGGAAUUCCGAGUGUAGAGGUGAAAUUCGCAGAUAUUCGGAGGAACACCAGUGGCGCAAGCGGCCAACUGGACGGGAAUUGACGCUCAGAUACGAAAGCGUGGGUAGCAAACAGG